UCCCACAAUUUACAGUUGAAAUCGUGUCGCAGCGGUGUACCCAACGGAAAGUAAAACUAGUGUGGGUUGUAAUUACCAAGUGAAUUAUUUAUUACUGCCGAUAAGUCGUAGUUUUAAACUUCGUUUCAACGGUGCCAACCAUUUGUUAAGAACUCGAGGCUCAGCAAUGAGCCAUUGCGUCUUCCGUUCGAGAAAUGACCACUACUAGCGAAUCGUCCCCUCCUGUGCAUUUGCAGUGCUUGAACAAUUGUUUAAGUGAAAAAUUGUCGGGCGGUGAUUCUCCUUGUGAACAACAGAUUUUAGAUUCGAGUUCCUCUUUGGAAAAGUGUCCCACGAAUAACAAUAACAAUAAUACGACAAACUCUAAUUCCAAUACAGUUCAUUUCAAGUGUACUCAGAGACAAGAACAAGAGCAGCAGCAACAGCAGAAUACGGGGUGCAGCCAAAAUAGUUUCAGUUCGGCAAGAGCAUCUCCGGUGUCUAGUCCAUGUAUCAUUAACUCCACGAUCGCAUCCGUGUCAAACGCCUGCUGUGCCCAACUGAGCUACAAUAAUUGUAAAAGUACAAGUUCUUCCUCCUCGUCUUGUGCUUCUGGUGGUGGGACUGUUGUAACAAGUGGACCUGAAUUGUCACCAGCAUUCGAAUCCGCAAACGCCUCCUCCUCCCCUGGACGUGAACGUGCUCUUACGCAAGACUAUAGUGCUGCACGAGAAGGAAACAACCGAACUGGCUUAAAAAUCACUGAGAACCAUUUGUCCACUAAAGUCCUUCGUAAUAAAAGUGUGCCCUACUGUGUGCCCUACUCAAUUCCGAAUUCUGGUCUGGGAGGACUGUCCACACUGGUGAAACAAAACCAGGACAAGAGUAAUCACUCCCAAGCGAAUUCCUCUCCUUUGGCUGCUUCCACUGCGCCGACAUACAGUGGAAGUGGUUCAACUUUAGCAGCCAAAUCCUUUAUUGCGUCGACUACGUCUUCUUCUCAUGACGAGGAUCAAGUCAUGUUUGAUGAGCGUCCAAAUAGCGUCAGUGGAGUGGUGCACGAGACUAACCUUAGUAAUAACCCUCAUCUGAUGGGUUCAACCUCUCUUCUCCUGUCAAGCAGUGCUAGGAUCACUUCUUCUGGUGGCACUGGCGGCGGCGGCAGCGGUGUCAACUCCAACGGUAUCCAUUCCAAUAAUAUGGUAAUCAAAGCUGGAGAACCCAACGGGAACAGCAUUGAGCUUGACAAUCAGUUUCAUCACAAAAACCAUCACCACCACGUACAUCAUUUCCACCAACAGCACCACCAAUCCAACGGGAGUAGUAAUAGUAUUAGCGGAACGGGUGAUUGCUGCCUUGGUCAUCUCAACGGGCCCUCAACCAACAACUCGUCCAUCGCCACGGGUGAAAGUAUGGGGAUCAUGCAGCCUCACGAUAACUUUGGCAUCGUCGUCGGUGGUCUUAAUAACCAACACAGUAAUAGCAAUCAAAAUAAUCAAAUGUGCCACAACGGACUUUUCCAAUGUGUGCAUAAUUGUGGUGGUGGUGGAAUGUCGCUGGCCACGGGUAAUGGGAGUAUGGGGAGCAUCAGUGGAAACAGCAACGGGGCUGGAAGUAUGACAUCCCCAGGAGGUAGCCUCAAUGAACAUGACUGUGAUGACGAUGACAAGGUGAUAAAUGGGGACACCUUUGCUGUGGGAGACCUACCUGAAGGUGAUGCCAUCAAAAUGUUUGUUGGCCAAGUACCCAAGCACCUGAAUGAACCCGAAUUGCGUUCCCUAUUUGAAGAAUUUGGACGAGUGUUCCAGAUCAACGUGCUCAGGGACAAGGUGACCAAGCAGAGCAAAGGUUGCUGUUUUGUGACUUUCUACACGAGGAAAUCUGCCCUAGACGCUCAGAACGCUCUUCAUAACGUCAAAACUUUACCUGGUAUGAAUCAUCCUUUACAGAUGAAGCCAGCAGAUAACGAGAACCGAUACGAGAGGAAGUUGUUCGUGGGGAUGAUAUCUCGGAAGUGCAAUGAAGCCGAAGUGAGGAACAUGUUUUCGAGGUUUGGAGUGAUUGACGAAUGUACCGUCCUUCGUGAUAAUAAUCAGCAGAGCAAAGGGUGUGCAUUCGUGACAUUUGCGUCCAAACAAAGCGCUCAGAAUAGUAUCAAAGCGAUUCACCACAGUAUUACGAUGGAGGGCUGCUCUUCCCCUAUCGUAGUCAAGUUCGCCGACACCCAAAAAGAUAAGGAUCAGAAGCGCCAACAAACCAUUCAAUCCACGCUUAUGGGAAAUCUUUCUGCUACUGCGGUUGCUCCCAUGUCCCAACCACAACCAUUCUUCUCGGGGCUUUUGAAAUUGGAACAGAUCAUUCAGCAACUGCAACAGCCCACACAAUCCCAAGCACAGAGCUACUACUCUCAACUGAGCCCCCUUGGCGUGGGUGGACUUGGGGGAAUUGGGUCGCUGGGAUCGGGGGGUGCAAGUGGAAUCGCGGGUUUGGGGUCGUCGGCAUCCCAAUCGGACUUGGCCACUAUCGCUGCUCUCGCCCUUAGUUCCAAUCUGAACCCCAACAAUCAGCACCAUCUCGUCAAUCUGGCGACUCUUGCGGCUUUAGGCAAUCACGCUUCACUUUCUCCUUCAGAAUUCACUUAUGCAGGUGCUAACGGAUGUUCAUUGGGGUCGACUAGCGGGCUUACAAUUGGUAAUGGACUUCAGUCAGGACUGAGUUCUUUUUCGGGUGGUGCUAUUCGAAGUCAGCCCGUCGCCAAUAAACAAGUAAGAAUCUUCACUAGCGAAGGGCCCGAUGGCAGUAACCUUUUCGUGUAUCAUUUAACCCCAGAGUGUGGCGAUCUGGACUUGGCUCAGAUGUUUCAAGCUUAUGGAAACGUGAUUUCUGCCAAAGUAUUUGUGGAUAAGCAAACCAAUCUUUCCAAAUGUUUCGGUUUCGUGUCGUACGACAGCCCAGUGUCAGCCCAGCUGGCUAUUCAACAGAUGAAUGGCUUCCAAAUUGGUAUGAAGCGUUUGAAAGUCCAAUUAAAGCGUCCCAAGGACGCUGCCAAACCUUACUAAAGUGCAGUGAUGAUGACGAUGACGUUGCGAAAAGCCAAUCAAAAUGAAACAAGUCAAUAUAAGAAUUAAAUCUAACCAAAAACGCCAAGUUUCACAAUUAAUAUAAUUAUUUCAUUAUCAUUGAUCCAACUGGACGGAUGGAUCGCAGAUCUUUCUAGUAUUUGUAAACAACCAGUUCAGGUCAAUUUACGAGUUACCAAUUACAAACUAUUUUACAAAGAGAAAAUAUUAUUUUUCAACGUAUUCCUACCGAGAAAGAGAAAGUCGAAAAGUGAAAACAACUUUUAUACCCUUCCAUUUACACUGAUGACACCACAAUUAUUCUUCAAAUUUCCUCACAAACUACAAGAAUUCUGAGCUAUCGAAAAAGUGUUGUCAAAGUCAAAUCAAUCAAUCACCAAUUGGAUCAAUACUAACGAAAAGUCUUCAACCAUUAUCAACAAAAUCCCGACCCUGAUGACGAAUUCUUCCGCUAUGAACCAAGAACCAAACCAACCAACAAUAGACUGUUGUCACUGAAUUGAUAUGAUCGUUCAUUCUUUGAAGCAAAUCUUCGUCCAUAUUUUGAUUGGCUUGACAUGCAAAACUUUCGUUCUUCUCUUCUGCGACCCAUCACACAAAAAAAUAACCAGACCAAAUUCGAACCUGCAAAUCCUCUUCCAUCCAACACCACUUUCAAAUUCAUUUGUGAAUUAUGGUCGAAAUUAAUGUUGUAAUUAUGUUAUAAAUCUGCUACAAAUGGUGUCGCUCUCCCUCUCUUUCGUGCCGUUUUGUUAGUUACCUACGCCCGUCCCGUUAUUUUAUACGUUAUUAUUAUCUCUGUGCAUGUUGUGGUGUGCCCAUCCACCCCUCAUUGUUCCUUUCCUACUUGUUCUGUCCCCUGUUUUAUGUCACGUCGUUAUUACCGAGUUACAAUGUACACUGUCGUUUAAUGUACCAGUCGUUUAGCAUACCUUCAGCCGUGGCAAAUACCUUUGGUGUUUACUUUAAUAUUAUAUUUGGAUUCCUCUAUAUUCGCCAUCCACGAUACGAUAUAUACUUAUUUCGUUCGAGCUACCGUUUACUUUAGCAGCACUCUCGUCCUUGUAGUUUAGUUUAGUAUCAGUAAAAGCGGACAACCUUUUACUUUGUGUUUCCAGAGUUUAUUCACUAGCCAGCAUAUUAUAGUCUAGCUAGAUUUUAGAUCCCAUUGUGGACUGGCAGGGUUAAUGGUCAUGGUCAUAUUAUUAUUAUUAUCCAUUACGGAAUUAUGGAAAUGCACCAUCGUGUUUCACAAAGUAGGAGAGAAGUCUUUUGUCUCUUUUGUUCAGCUACCGUUCAGAAUAAUGGGCGAAAGUAAAGUUGAAUGCAAACAAAACAAAAUUUAUUCCCUGUGUCCUCACACCAGUUAACAACGCGUGUACUCAUUCCUGUACGUACACUCUCGCUUACUCGAAAAUGUUCAAAAUUCGGCACAAAAGAAAUUCCCUCUUAAUUUGUAAUAAACUGCAACUUUUCCUGGACUCAAAUUGGUGUUUCCGUACUAAUUAAUUUAUCAAUUUGCUAAAUGUUGAACAAAAGAGAGAAACGAAUCCUGUUUACUUAUCUUCUAUACUGAUGUACAUUUUUAGGGCUACCUUAAAUAUUUAUUAUUUGAGUCAGCAGCAUCUACUAUUUAUUAGUUACAAUGGUAAUUCCAUCCGUGUAGGUAUACUUAUUGUUACUACAUAUUAUUCUUGUCGUACUUGUAUGUAGUGUAUAUUUAUGUAUUGUAAUUUGCAUAUAUGUACUGUGCCAUAAGUUUGCAUUGCACGCGCCGGCAACCCGUGUACGUACGUAAUGUCAUGUUUUUUUACAAAGCAGAACAGCUACGCACAGGUGAGUCAAUUUGAUGAGUUUAUCUAGCCAAGUCAAUUGGAAUAAUUUUUGCACUGAGGGUGACCGGCUUUAACAGUCGCACUCACGUGUGGGCAUAGUCAUUCUUGUUAAAUAUGUGUUACCAAAAAUUUAAAUGAGAUCCAAAUCCUUGCUUAUUAUAUCAUUUAAGUAAAUAAAUAAAUAAAUACGCUAGGAAAUGUAGGUUAUUUAUUUAGAAGGAGCUUUAAUUUUCGACUUACUUACUCUUGACUUUCACUUUUAUGUUACCAAAAUGUGGAGCUGAAACUACAAAUUAUUUAAAAAUAUAUACAUAUAUAUAUCUUUGUUCCUUUGAUUUUAGGUAUGUAAAAAUGUGUGUGCUUAAAAGCCGUGCUAUUAUAAUGUGUAUGUAUAUGUUUAUGCGUCAUAAGUCCGUACAUAAUUCUUUGGGAAACUUGAGUCAACGGAUAAGUAGAUUAAUUUGCUAGAGUUACAUAUUGAACUAAUGUGUAAGAGUGUCUGCAACUAAAUAUAUCCUUGCUGUUGUUUAUUUAAGUUGUCGUUAAGUUAUGCAUGUCACCAGUUUCUAUUAAGUCGAACGUUAACAAGUACCAGUGAAGCUAUGACUUUCACCAUACAAACUAAUCAAUGGAUAUACGCUGUGAACAAUCUAAAUUAGUAGAAUGUAGGGCAGCAUUUCACUGUUGCAUAUAUUCUACAGAUAUCAAUUAUUAUAAACGCAAACAAAUUAAAUGAACCACUUAUAGAGUAGAAGACUUGCUGUUAACGUAAUAAUAAUAAUAAAAUCGCUAUAACGGGGUAAUAUUAUUAUAGCCGAUAAGUGAUAUAAAAAUAUUACGUGUCAUAUUUCACUUAACGACUUGAAUACAUGUUCUACAAGAUAUAAUGGGUAGGUAACUGUAACAUUGUGUACGUGGUAAAUUAUUACAGUGGACAAUGUCUGCUGAUCAAAAACAUGGACCGAUGAUAAAAAUUGGGUAAAUAUACGAGUAAGUAGUUAAAUACUAUUCUUACGAUAAAUGUAUUAUUAUAAAUAUGACUAUUAUGAACUGAAAGAGCUUUCUAUUAAUUAAUAAAAAGGAUAUUCAAAUA